rnacentral:lncRNA from 1 species
UAGGAAAUAUCAGAGGGCCCUUUUCUUUUUCACCUAAAAGACAACUCUAGUUACGGUUACAAUAAGAGAUUCUUUAGUAUUUGAUGGAUUUCUAUGCUUGUUUUGAUGAUUGAUUACUUGAAUAUGAAUACAUGACAUAUUAUUCAUGAAGAAUGUGUUAUAUGAUGAUUUGAAAUGCAUGUGGGAUUGACCCUUUAUCUUACUCUUAGUAAUGGCAAAGAGAGUUGUUCUAAGGAGUUC